rnacentral:lncRNA from 1 species
GGUGUCCGCUAUCUUGUAGGGUCCUUCCCAGUUCGGAGACAAUUUCCCUUGGUCCAGAGGCUUCGAAACCUCCGUCUUCCUUAAGACCAGGUCCUCGGGCCCGAAAAACUUCGGCUUAACCUUAGCAUUGUAGUAUCGGGCCACUCUUUGUCAGUAGGAAGCCAUGCAGAGUUGAGCCUUGUGUCGGAGUUCGGAUAGGAGGUCCAAGUCGGCUCUCCAACACUCGGAGUUGUCCGGCUCGCAGUACUACUCAACUAU